rnacentral:rRNA from 1 species
UGAUAUGAACCGUUAUAACCGGCGAUUUCCGAAUGGGGAAACCCAGUGUGUUUCGACACACUAUCAUUAACUGAAUCCAUAGGUUAAUGAGGCGAACCGGGGGAACUGAAACAUCUAAGUACCCCGAGGAAAAGAAAUCAACCGAGAUUCCCCCAGUAGCGGCGAGCGAACGGGGAGCAGCCCAGAGCCUGAAUCAGUGUGUGUGUUAGUGGAAGCGUCUGGAAAGGCGCGCGAUACAGGGUGACAGCCCCGUACACAAAAAUGCACAUGCUGUGAGCUCGAUGAGUAGGGCGGGACACGUGGUAUCCUGUCUGAAUAUGGGGGGACCAUCCUCCAAGGCUAAAUACUCCUGACUGACCGAUAGUGAACCAGUACCGUGAGGGAAAGGCGAAAAGAACCCCGGCGAGGGGAGUGAAAAAGAACCUGAAACCGUGUACGUACAAGCAGUGGGAGCACGCUUAGGCGUGUGACUGCGUACCUUUUGUAUAAUGGGUCAGCGACUUAUAUUCUGUAGCAAGGUUAACCGAAUAGGGGAGCCGAAGGGAAACCGAGUCUUAACUGGGCGUUAAGUUGCAGGGUAUAGACCCGAAACCCGGUGAUCUAGCCAUGGGCAGGUUGAAGGUUGGGUAACACUAACUGGAGGACCGAACCGACUAAUGUUGAAAAAUUAGCGGAUGACUUGUGGCUGGGGGUGAAAGGCCAAUCAAACCGGGAGAUAGCUGGUUCUCCCCGAAAGCUAUUUAGGUAGCGCCUCGUGAAUUCAUCUCCGGGGGUAGAGCACUGUUUCGGCAAGGGGGUCAUCCCGA